GAGUAUAUAGUUUGGACGACGACAUGCUCUAGAAUAUGGCACAACUAUAAGAAAUUAGAACAAAGAGCCACCGUACGUGCCGAGAUCGAUGUUGUCUCUGAUAAUAAAAUGCAGAAAUCAUUAACCAAAAACCAUACGGGGAGAGCUUUGCGUCAUUGCGUGGAGCUUCAGUGGGUUCCAAAAGUUGCUUUCUUGCGUAGCAAGGUUGUUGGACGGCGUUUUGACAAUGCACACCAAAGACGAUCAAUGUUGUUGACGCUAUAGGUUUUGUGCCUAGGGGUGCAGAUUGCAGGCCACACGCAUAUUCUUCACGAGCAAGAAUCUG
rnacentral:lncRNA from 1 species